AGCGAACGCUGGCGGCAGGCCUAACACAUGCAAGUCGAACGAACCUUUCGGGGUUAGUGGCGGACGGGUGAGUAACACGUGGGAACGUGCCUUUAGGUUCGGAAUAACUCAGGGAAACUUGUGCUAAUACCGAAUGUGCCCUUCGGGGGAAAGAUUUAUCGCCUUUAGAGCGGCCCGCGUCUGAUUAGCUAGUUGGUUGAGGUAAUGGCUCACCAAGGCGACGAUCAGUAGCUGGUCUGAGAGGAUGAUCAGCCACAUUGGGACUGAGACACGGCCCAAACCCCCAGGGGAGGCAAGAGUGGGGAAUCUGGCGAAAGGGGCAAAAGCCGGACGAAGCCAGGCCGGGGGAAAGAAGAAGGUUUUGGGAUGGAAAAAUUUUUUCACCGGGGAAGAAAAGGACGGUACCCGGAAAAGAAGCCCCGGAUAACUUCGG
rnacentral:rRNA from 1 species